rnacentral:rRNA from 1 species
CAGGCCUAACCAUGCAAGUCGAACGGUAAAUACUAUAGCAAUAUGGUAUGAGAGUGACGACGGGUGCGUAACACGUAUGCAACCUACCCAAGACGGGAGGAUAGCUCAGGAAACUUGGAUUAACCCUCCAUAAGAUCGUAGAGUGGCAUCACUUAGCAUAAAAACAUUAGUGGUUUUGGAUGGGCAUGCGCAUGAGGAGUUAGUUGUAGUGUAACGGACUACCAAGACGAUGAUCAUUAGGGGACCUGACAGGGUAUCCCCCACCCUGGCACUGAGAUACGGGCCAUACUCCUACGGGAGGCAGAGUAGGGAAUAUUGGUCAAUGGAUGCAAGUCUGAGCCAGCCAUGCCGCGGCAGGAAGACUGUCUUCUGGGUUGUAAACUGGUCCCGCCACCGGCUA